rnacentral:lncRNA from 1 species
GUUAUGUCAAAUUGUAGUAUUGAUGACAAUUGUAGAUCUCGAUAAGAGGCUACAAAGGAAAUGUACAAUCCUGCAGCCUUAGUGGGUUGCUUGUGUAGUUAUGCCUUGACACAUUGAUGGACUGAUCUUUUGGUGUACUCUUUGGUGGUAUGGGACGCAAGUUAUUUGUUUGUUUUCCUUGAAUGUACUUUCCGGUGAUAUGGGAUGUCAUGAUAAGUUCUUUUACUUUAUACUCUAACGAUGCUAGUUGUAUUGAUUAUAGUAAUUAAAUGUUUGUUAUUAUAUAUACGUGUGGCUUUACACUUCCAAAAUGAUUACUCAUGUUGUAUGAAAGUUAUGGUAUAU